rnacentral:rRNA from 1 species
GCUUAACACAUGCAAGUCUACUUGAAUUUGGGUUUUUAACUUAGGUUUGGGUGGCGGACGGGUGAGUAACGCGUAAAGAACUUGCCUCACAGCUAGGGACAACAUUUAGAAAUGAAUGCUAAUACCUAAUAUUAUGAUAAUAGGGCAUCCUAUAAUUAUGAAAGCUAUAUGCGCUGUGAGAGAGCUUUGCGUCCCAUUAGCUAGUUGGAGAGGUAACGGCUCGCCAAGGCGAUGAUGGGUAGCCGGCCUGAGAGGGUGAUCGGCCACAAGGGGACUGAGACACGGCCCUUACUCCUACGGGAGGCAGCAGUGGGGAAUAUUGGACAAUGGACCGAGAGUCUGAUCCAGCAAUUCUGUGUGCACGAUGAAGUUUUUCGGAAUGUAAAGUGCUUUCAGUUGGGAAGAAAGAAAUGACGGUACCAACAGAAGAAGUGACGGCUAAAUACGUGCCAGCAGCCGCGGUAAUACGUAUGUCACGAGCGUUAUCCGGAUUUAUUGGGCGUAAAGCGCGUCUAGGUGGUUAUAUAAGUCUGAUGUGAAAAUGCAGGGCUCAACUCUGUAUUGCGUUGGAAACUGUAUAACUAGAGUACUGGAGAGGUAAGCGGAACUACAAGUGUAGAGGUGAAAUUCGUAGAUAUUUGUAGGAAUGCCGAUGGGGAAGCCAGCUUACUGGACAGAUACUGACGCUGAAGCGCGAAAGCGUGGGUAGCAAACAGGAUUAGAUACCCUGGUAGUCCACGCUGUAAACGAUGAUUACUAGGUGUUGGGGGUCGAACCUCAGCGCCCAAGCAAACGCGAUAAGUAAUCCGCCUGGGAGUACGUA